UACGUAGGGGGCGAGCGUUGUCCGGAAUUAUUGGGCGUAAAGAGCGUGUAGGCGGCUUGGCAAGUCCGCUGUGAAAACUCGAGGCUUAACCUCGAGACGUCGGUGGAAACUGCCUGGCUAGAGUCCGGAAGAGGAGUGUGGAAUUCCUGGUGUAGCGGUGAAAUGCGCAGAUAUCAGGAAGAACACCUAUGGCGAAGGCAGCACUCUGGGACGGUACUGACGCUGAGACGCGAAAGCGUGGGGAGCGAACAGG
rnacentral:rRNA from 1 species